rnacentral:rRNA from 1 species
GACGAUGCGUAGCCGACCUGAGAGGGUGAUCGGCCACAUUGGAACUGAGACACGGUCCAGACUCCUACGGGAGGCAGCAGUGGGGAAUAUUGCGCAAUGGGGGAAACCCUGACGCAGCGACGCCGCGUGAGUGAUGAAGGUUUUCGGAUUGUAAACCUCUGUCUUUAGGGAAGAAAAUGACCGUGCCUAAGGAGGAAGCCACGGCUAACUACGUGCCAGCAGCCCCGGUAAUACGUAUGUGGCAAGCGUUGUCCGGAUAUACUGGGUGUAAAGGGUAUGUAGGCGGAUAUUUAAGUCAGAUGUGAAAUGCCCCGGCUCAACCCGGGAGCUGCAUUUGAUACUGGAUGUCUGGAGUGCAGGAGAGGACAGUGGAGUUCCUAGUGUAGCGGUGAAAUGCGUAGAGAUUAGGAAGAACACCAGUGGGCGAAAGCGACGUUCUGGACUGUAACUGACGCUGAGAUACGAAAGCGUGGGGAGCGAACAGGAUUAGAUACCCUGGUAGUCCACGCCGAUUACAUUCA